UACCAAGGAGGUGUAUGGAAGGUUAGAGUAGAACUCCCUGAUGCAUAUCCUUACAAGUCUCCGUCGAUUGGUUUGGUUAAUAAGAUAUAUCACCCGAAUGUCGAUGAACUGUCUGGUUCCGUCUACUUGGAUGUCAUUAACCAGACAUGGAGCCCAAUGUUUGAUCUUGUCAAUGUGUUUGAAGUCUUCCUUCCACAACUUUUGUUAUAUCCAAAUCCUUUUGAUCCAUUGAACGGAGAAGCUACUGCGCUCUUGAUGCGUGAUCGCCCUGCUUAUGAGAAGAAAGUGAAAGGUGAUUAUAUUAAUUUAACACACAUCUAA
rnacentral:rRNA from 1 species